CUCCUAGACUGUUAAAAGAAAGUAGCAAGGUAUCUAAUUUAGUGAAGUUGGCGAACACAUCUGGGAUGUGACCACUGAAACUGUUAGAACUAAGAUCUAAGUAGGUGAGAUGUUUGAGGUUUGAAAGUAAAGAUGGAAUUUCACCAUGAAGUCUGUUUCCUAAAAGUUCCAAAUGAGUUAGUUGAGUGAGAUUC